CGAACGGUAACAGGAAACAGCUUGCUGUUUCGCUGACGAGUGGCGGACGGGUGAGUAAUGUCUGGGAAACUGCCUGAUGGAGGGGGAUAACUACUGGAAACGGUAGCUAAUACCGCAUAACGUCGCAAGACCAAAGAGGGGGACCUUCGGGCCUCUUGCCAUCGGAUGUGCCCAGAUGGGAUUAGCUAGUAGGUGGGGUAACGGCUCACCUAGGCGACGAUCCCUAGCUGGUCUGAGAGGAUGACCAGCCACACUGGAACUGAGACACGGUCCAGACUCCUACGGGAGGCAGCAGUGGGGAAUAUUGCACAAUGGGCGCAAGCCUGAUGCAGCCAUGCCGCGUGUAUGAAGAAGGCCUUCGGGUUGUAAAGUACUUUCAGCGGGGAGGAAGGGAGUAAAGUUAAUACCUUUGCUCAUUGACGUUACCCGCAGAAGAAGCACCGGCUAACUCCGUGCCAGCAGCCGCGGUAAUACGGAGGGUGCAAGCGUUAAUCGGAAUUACUGGGCGUAAAGCGCACGCAGGCGGUUUGUUAAGUCAGAUGUGAAAUCCCCGGGCUCAACCUGGGAACUGCAUCUGAUACUGGCAAGCUUGAGUCUCGUAGAGGGGGGUAGAAUUCCAGGUGUAGCGGUGAAAUGCGUAGAGAUCUGGAGGAAUACCGGUGGCGAA
rnacentral:rRNA from 1 species